rnacentral:rRNA from 1 species
UACGAAGGGGGCUAGCGUUGCUCGGAAUCACUGGGCGUAAAGGGUGCGUAGGCGGGUCUUUAAGUCAGGGGUGAAAUCCUGGAGCUCAACUCCAGAACUGCCUUUGAUACUGAAGAUCUUGAGUUCGGGAGAGGUGAGUGGAACUGCGAGUGUAGAGGUGAAAUUCGUAGAUAUUCGCAAGAACACCAGUGGCGAAGGCGGCUCACUGGCCCGAUACUGACGCUGAGGUGCGAGAGCGUGGGGAGCGAACCGG